rnacentral:rRNA from 1 species
UACAGAGGUCCCAAGCGUUGUUCGGAUUCACUGGGCGUAAAGGGUGCGUAGGCGGUCGGGUAAGUCUGGCGUGAAAUCUCCAAGCCUAACUUGGAAACUGCGUUGGAUACUAUCCGGCUCGAGGAAUGGAGGGGAGACUGGAAUACUUGGUGUAGCAGUGAAAUGCGUAGAUAUCAAGUGGAACACCAGUGGCGAAGGCGAGUCUCUGGACAUUUUCUGACGCUGAGGCACGAAAGCCAGGGGAGCAAACGGG